UGGUGGGUUGCCUUGUCAGGUUGAUUCCGGUAACGAACGAGACCUCAGCCUGCUAAAUAGUCACGCGUACCCCGGUACGUGCCUGACUUCUUAGAGGGACUAUUGGCGUUUAGCCAAUGGAAGUGUGAGGCAAUAACA
rnacentral:rRNA from 1 species